rnacentral:sRNA from 1 species
CCCAGGGCUAUCGCCCUGGGCUAUGCCCUGUCAGCCCUUCGGGCUU